rnacentral:rRNA from 1 species
GCCUAUGGCCAUAACACUCUGAACACACCGGAUCUCGUCUGAUCUUGGAAGCUAAGCAGGGUNGGGCCUGGUUAGUACUUGGAUGGGAGACCACNUGGGAAUACUGGGUGCUGUAGGCU